rnacentral:ncRNA from 1 species
CAAAGGCUUGGUCCUGACUUUACUAUCGGCCAUAACACAACUUACACAUGCAAGUCUCCGCAACCCUGUGAGGAUGCCCUUAAUCCCCUGCCCGGGGACGAGGAGCGGGCAUCAGGCUCAAUUAUUAGCCCAAGACGCCUUGCCAUGCCACACCCCCAAGGGAAUUCAGCAGUGAUAAACAUUAAGCCAUAAGCACAAAGCUUGACUUAGUCAGUGUUAAGAGGGCCGGUAAAACUCGUGCCAGCCACCGCGGUUAUACGAAAGGCCCUAGUUGAUAAAUACGGCGUAAAGGGUGGUUAAGGAAAGCAAGAAUAAAGCCAAAGGGCCUCCUGGCCGUCAUACGCUCCCGAGCGCCCGAAGCCCAAAUACGAAAGUAGCUUUAACGUCAGCCCACCUGAUCCCACGAAAGCUGAGAAACAAACUGGGAUUAGAUACCCCACUAUGCUCAGCCAUAAACCUAGACGCUUAACUACAACAAGCGUCCGCCAGGGUACUACGAGCGUCAGCUUAAAACCCAAAGGACUUGGCGGUGCCUUAGACCCCCCUAGAGGAGCCUGUUCUAGAACCGAUAACCCCCGUUAAACCUCACCACCUCUAGUCAUCCCCGCCUAUAUACCGCCGUCGUCAGCUUACCCUGUGAAGGUCUAAUAGUAAGCAAAGUGGGCAUAACCCAAAACGUCAGGUCGAGGUGUAGCGCACGAGGUGGGAAGAAAUGGGCUACAUUUUCUAUAGUAGAAUAACACGAAUAGCAUCGUGAAAACCAAUGCUUGAAGGAGGAUUUAGUAGUAAAAAGGAAAUAGAGUGUCCUUUUGAACCCGGCUCUGAGGCGCGUACACACCGCCCGUCACUCUCCCCUGUUAAAUAGUAACCAAUGUAAAUAACACCAAAACAUCAACAAGGGGAGGCAAGUCGUAACAUGGUAAGUGUACCGGAAGGUGCACUUGGAUCAAACCC